rnacentral:lncRNA from 1 species
GCUAACAAUGCUUAAUAUCUUGCGACUGCAUUGGGGCCAGCAAUUUGUGUGUACUCACUCACACGGAGAUAGGUAAGCUUUAUUUUGCAUAUACAAUGUGAAAGGGGGUUUUGGGGUUUAAUGUUGUAUUUUAGAAGUAUACCUUUCUGUCUACAUUUGUCUGUUUCCCUCAAGUUUGGACUUUUUUUUUAAAAGGAGUUUUGCUUGCUGCAACGAGAACCAUUUUGUGGAUGAACAAGGAAUCAUGUUUGUUCUUAGACGAGAGGAGGUUGUAAAGGAUGAACCUGACAUCAACCAGAUGAUCCAAAGCUGGCCAGUGCUUUUUUGACUGAA